rnacentral:misc_RNA from 1 species
GAUGAAGAACGUAGCGAAAUGCGAUAAGUAAUGUGAAUUGCAGAAUUCCGUGAAUCAUCGAAUCUUUGAACGCACAUUGCGCCCCCUGGUAUUCCGGGGGGCAUGCCUGUCCGAGCGUCAUUGCUGCCCUCAAGCACGGCUUGUGUGUUGGGCCUCCGUCCUCCUCCCGGGGGACGGGCCCGAAAGGCAGCGGCAGCACCGCGUCCGGUCCUCGAGCGUAUGGGGCUUCGUCACCCGCUCUUGUAGGCCCGGCCGGCGCUUGCCGACACAUCAAUCUUUUUUCCAGGUUGACCUCGGAUCAGGUAGGGAUACCCGCUGAACUUAAGCAUAUCAAUAAGCGGAGGA